AAAUAAAACAAACCCUAGAAAAAAUCCCACCUCUUCCACCUUCUUCUUCACAACCGCCGCGCACACCCCCCCCCCAUUAAAUUAGCUGAAGGAAAUGAUUUUCCGUCCAACCUCUCCCUCCCUCCGGUGACUUUUUUCGGCAACGACCAGUCCUCCACGAACAAGCAGAUGCGGCGACGCUCCAUCAGAACCCGACCCCAGCAGCGGCAGUGUUUUGUGUCGGUUGUACCAACGGCGGCGAUACCUGUACACCUCGACGCCCAGACCUGCGAACGGUCGCCCUUUGGGUGAAGCUUCCUAGGCGGUUAAAGGUGAUUUCGACGACGCAACAUCAGAUUUUGGUGGUUCUACUGUGCUUCGCGGUGGAUCUGGCAUUUCCCGGUGGACGGCAGCAACGUACACUACCUCCCACGACGGCAGCAACGUCCCCGUCACCUAGACCGUGCACAGUAGCGUCGGUAGUGCAUCUCCAUUGCUGGAUCUCGUGGACAGCGGCAUUUCGGUGGUUUUCACCACUUACCUACACCCGUUCGAAGCCCGUUUUGCAAUACCUGCCCCCUUCGACAUUGGCCGACUCUUAACCAAAGUAGUUUUAGUGUGAGUUAUUAGGUAACGACUCAUCUAAAUUGGAUUUAAAGUUAAUUAAAUUUAAUUCUAACCCAAGUUUGGUUGUUCUUGGUUUAGGACCCCGGCGGCGAGCUUAGUAGCGCAUUAGGGACGUGAUAUUAAGUAGUUUCUUACUUGAGGGGAUUGGAUUUUGUUUGUUGAUAUAAAUUGAUUGUUUUCUUUGUUGUCUAUAUGUGUUAUUCGCAUGAUUGCUUGUGGUUGAUGUUAUCCUCUGAAAGUCAUUGUCGAUAUGAUUUUAGAUCGUUGCUAUGUUUGGUUGGACUAUGUUAAGGAUACUGUGUUAAUUGUUACGGUUUGGUGCCUGACCAUGUCUUCAGUUAAUUGGUCAAAUUGGUAAUGCAUGGGUACGCUGAACUUGUUGUGGAGUUCUUGUGUAGUUGUAUUCAUAAAAGUAUUUUGGGAACACUUGUGAGGAGUUUGCUAUGUUAAAUCAUACUGGACAUAUGUUGGGUAUAAUUUUUGAUUACUUGGGAAUUGUGGAUGCGUUGAGCUUCUUGGACAGCCUCUAUGAAGCUCCAUACCAAGAAUUUUCUUGGCUUGACCCAAGUCCUUCAUCUCAAAUUCACUUCUAAGUUCAUAUUUUAUCUUCUCAAUCUCGCUUUUAUCUUUAGAAGCUAUCAAGAUGCCAUCAACAUAGAGAAGGAGUAGAACAAGGACAUCACUAGUAAUAACUUUCUUAUAUAUACAACAAUCAUAAUAAUUUUUCUUGAUUCCCUUUACUAUAUACAAAAGGAAAGUGAGUGGGGAUGAAAAAAAAAAAGUGUGUUUAUUUGCUAUAUUUUAGGGAAUAUGAAAUAGGAAUAGGAAGAAGAAUAGGAAGGUUUCUAUUUUUUCCAUGUUCAUUUAGUUAAAUUCUACCUUAUGAGAGUUGUCUAAUUGUUAGACUAACAAAGUUAGAUACUAUAUUUAGAUAUUUGCUCUGAAGCGUGUAUCGGUAAAGCGUUUUUUGAGUUCAAUUAUUUGUCUGGAUUGAUAUGUAACUUAUUCAUUACAGUGUAUUAUUUAUAUGUUAUAUUCACAGUGCCCAAAACAACCAAAUGCAGUAGAAUGUGGUACUAUGUCAUGUGGUUCAUGCGUGACAUAGUCUUCGCUUGUAACACAACAAUCCUAGAAUGCGUACGUAUAUAGCAUAGUGUUAAUGUUUGAAAAUAUAUAUUCUCAAAUUGCAUUGUUUUGACUUUGAUAUAAAUAUGUAUAGAUGAAAGGGGCACCGUAGUGUUACACACAGGAGCACUUGGAUGUGAUUAGGAGGGAGUUGGCAGAGUUCAUACUCUCACACAUAUAUAUUUUUCGUAGUAUAUGUACUAUCUUGUUUUUUGGCUUCCCCGUUCAAGCAACUCAUUGUCGUUUUGUUGGCCACCACAUGUUGGAGAUUGAAAAUUUGUUGAGUGAAAGAUUUGAUCGAAUACUUUUGGGCAAUACCCUUGGCAUGAACCACAUAUACUAUAAUGGUCUAUUGAGCAUGUGGGAGCGARGGUUGAAGGAAGCAGGGUCGAGCAUUUCUGUAAUAUGUUAGCUACAUUUUGUAGUUUGACCUUUCACAUUUACACGAUCUUCCAAGAAGAGUCUGGAGAACCAUGGCGGGUAGCUACUUGGAAUAUUUAAAAGAUGACUGUUGGGCCAUUUUUUGUUGGGUUAGUAGUUACUUGGUAUAGUUUGUUUAUGUACGGGGUUGAUGGACAUGAAAAACCUUCAUUGAUGUAUAUAUAAUUUACUAUAUGUAUACACUUUAUAUUUGUAGG